rnacentral:rRNA from 1 species
UACGUAGGGUGCGAGCGUUGUCCGGAAUUAUUGGGCGUAAAGCGCGUGUAGGCGGUUCGAUAAGUCUGCUGUGAAAGUCGAGGGCUCAACCCUCGAAAGCCGGUGGAUACUGUCGAACUGGAGUACGGAAGAGGCGAGUGGAAUUCCUGGUGUAGCGGUGAAAUGCGCAGAUAUCGGGAGGAACACCAAUUGCGAAGGCAGCUCGCUGGGACGUUACUGACGCUGAGACGCGAAAGCGUGGGGAGCAAACAGG